GACAGAGGCCUCGAGCGUUAGGCGGAGUCACUGGGCUUAAAGCGUGUGUAGGCGGACCUCUAAGUACCUUGUGAAAUCCCACGGCUCACCCGUGGAACCGCUGGGUAUACUGGGGGUCUUGGGCCACUCAGGGGCGACUGGGAACAAGCGGUGGAGCGGUGAAAUGCGUAGAUAUCGCUUGGAACGCCGAAGGUGAAAACAGGUCGCUGGGAGUGCGCCGACGCUGAGACACGAAAGCCCAGGGGAGCAAACGGGG
rnacentral:rRNA from 1 species